rnacentral:misc_RNA from 1 species
GAUGAAGAACGUAGCGAAAUGCGAUACGUAAUGUGAAUUGCAGAAUUCAGUGAAUCAUCGAAUCUUUGAACGCAUAUUGCGCUCUCUGGUAUUCCGGAGAGCAUGCUUGUUUGAGUAUCAGUAAACACCUCAACUCUCUUUUCUUUUUUGAAAUUGGAGCUGGACUUGAGUGAUCCCAACGCUUUCUUCCAAGAAAGUGGCGGGUUGCUUGAAAUGCAGGUGCAGCUGAACUUUUCUCUGAGCUAUAAGCAUAUCUAUUUAGUCUGCCUAAAAAACAGAUUAUUACCUUUGCUGCAGCUAACAUAAAGGAGACUAGUUCUUGUGCUGACUGAUGCAGGAUUCACAGAGACAGCUUCGGCUGACUUUGUAAACUCGAUCUCAAAUCAAGUAAGACUACCCGCUGAACUUAAGCAUAUCAAUAAGCGGAGGA